GACGAACGCUGGCGGCGUGCCCAAUACAUGCAAGUCGAGCGGACAGAAGGGAGCUUGCUCCCGGAAGUUAGCGGCGGACGGGUGAGUAACACGUGGGCAACCUACCCUGUAGAUCGGGAUAACAUCGAGAAAUCGGUGCUAAUACCGGAUAAUCAUUUGAAGUGCAUGCUUCGAAUGUAAAAGAUGGCUCCGGCUAUCACUACGGGAUGGGCCCGCGGCGCAUUAGCUAGCUGGUAAGGUAAUGGCUUACCAAGGCAACGAUGCGUAGCCGACCUGAGAGGGUGAUCGGCCACACUGGGACUGAGACACGGCCCAGACUCCUACGGGAGGAAGGAGUAGGGAAUCUUCCGCAAUGGACGAAAGUCUGACGGAGCAACGCCGCGUGAGUGAUGAAGGUUUUCGGAUCGUAAAGCUCUGUUGUUAGGGAAGAACAAGUGCCGUUUGAAUAAGGCGGCACCUUGACGGUACCUAACCAGAAAGCCACGGCUAACUACGUGCCAGCAGCCGCGGUAACAC
rnacentral:rRNA from 1 species